rnacentral:rRNA from 1 species
UACGGGGGGGGCAAGCGUUGUUCGGAAUUACUGGGCGUAAAGGGCGCGUAGGCGGCCUGCUAAGUCGGACGUGAAAUCCCUCGGCUCAACCGAGGAACUGCGUCCGAUACUGGUGGGCUUGAAUCCGGGAGAGGGAUGUGGAAUUCCAGGUGUAGCGGUGAAAUGCGUAGAUAUCUGGAGGAACACCGGUGGCGAAGGCGGUUCUCUGGGCCUUGCCUGACGCUGAGGAGCGAAAGCGUGGGGAGCGAACAGG